rfam:Nestor notabilis contig19447, whole genome shotgun sequence.
GAUUUGGCUGUUGUGGUGUGCAAAACCUCGUACCUUGCUUUUUGCCACACUGCAACACUUUACAGA